GAUUAUUGAGGUGAGAAAUGGCUCCUCAUACGCUGCUUGCAGUAAACAGAGAUGCAGGAUACGCCGCCCUGCCUGUAAUC
rnacentral:ncRNA from 21 species